rnacentral:rRNA from 1 species
AGAGUUUGAUCCUGGCUCAGGAUGAACGCUAGCGGCAGGCCUAAUACAUGCAAGUCGAGGGAGAAGUUUUGUGCUUGCACAGAAUGGGAACCGGCGAACGGGUGCGUAACACGUAUGCAACCUACCUAUAACUGGGGGAUAGCCCGAAGAAAUUCGGAUUAAUACCCUAUAAUAUUUACUUACCGCAUGGUAAGUAUCUUAAAACUCCGGUGGUUAUAGAUGGGCAUGCGGCUUAUUAGUUUGUUGGUGAGGUAACGGCUCACCAAGACUACGAUAAGUAGGGGGUCUGAGAGGAUGAUCCCCCACACUGGUACUGAGACACGGACCAGACUCCUACGGGAGGCAGCAGUAGGGAAUAUUGGACAAUGGACGAAAGUCUGAUCCAGCCAUGCCGCGUGCAGGAUGACGGCCCUAUGGGUUGUAAACUGCUUUUAUAUAGGAAGAAACCUUUCCACGUGUGGAAAGCUGACGGUACUAUACGAAUAAGGACCGGCUAACUCCGUGCCAGCAGCCGCGGUAAUACGGAGGGUCCAAGCGUUGUCCGGAUUUAUUGGGUUUAAAGGGUACGUAGGCGGGACUUUAAGUCAGUGGUGAAAGCCUCCAGCUUAACUGGAGAAUUGCCAUUGAAACUGAAGUUCUUGAGUAUGGAUGAGGUGGUUGGAAUAUAACAUGUAGCGGUGAAAUGCAUAGAUAUGUUAUAGAACACCAAUUGCGAAGGCAGAUCACUAAACCAUUACUGACGCUGAGGUACGAAAGCGUGGGGAGCGAACAGGAUUAGAUACCCUGGUAGUCCACGCCGUAAACGAUGUUCACUCGCUGUUGGCGAUAUACUGUCAGCGGCCAAGCGAAAGCAUUAAGUGAACCACCUGGGGAGUACGAUCGCAAGGUUGAAACUCAAAGGAAUUGACGG